rnacentral:lncRNA from 1 species
AGUUAUGAAAACACCGGCCCAGGAUACAUGACAGGAGAACACCAGGAUACAGAACCGGACAACGUGGCGAGAGAGAGAGAGAGAGAAGGCAAGAAAAUCAAUCACUGCGAGUGUGUUUAUAAAAAAGUAUUUGUGUGUGUUUAAAACCUAUAAUUUGUUUGUUUUUCUGUUGUUGUUUUUCACAGAAUGAACACUUUUGAAAAGAAAAUUAUCCAGAGGCUUCAUAAAUCCACUAAGUUAAAGGAUAAAAGUUACAUUGGCUGGCUGAGGCAGGUCCACUGCAAACCGGGUUGGCAUUUGCAUGCAAAGAAGGCACUAGUUUUGCAAUUGGACGAGGAGAAAAAGAGAGCUGCUAAAUUCUGCCUUCCACGCUGGCCGCCCAUCAUCUCCAUAAUGGUGAGGGAGAGAAGGAAGAGGGCAAGAAGAGAGCUGGAGUGGGUCCAAGCAGUCCAGGCUUCUGCGUCCAAGCUUCCAAGGAGCAGGCCUGAUCCUCGCACAGGGGCACAGAGAGCAGAGGUGGGUCUCAGUUCUGCCCUCCCCACUGGCCGCCAGUCAUCUCCCAAAAAGAGAUGAUGAAAAGAAGCUGGUUUCUGCGGGAGCUUGAGAGGGCCCGACUUGCUCAGGCCAAGAAAAGACGCAGGAGGGCUUCCAAACCAGCCAAGGUGACAAGAGCAACUGUGUGGAGAAGGAAAAGAAGUUUGGAAGAGGACAAGAAGGUCCUGCAGAAGAUUAGAUAUGUUUACACACAGAAGCCACCUGGCUUCCUCUGCCAUCUCUGUGGCCAGCCCAGGAGAAUGGAAUUCGGCCAUGUCACCUACAAGGGCAAGAGCUUUUGCUCCACCGCCUCUGGCCAGAGUGCCCCCGACUGGCUGGCAGAGCAGAAGUGGGUGGAUGGGUCAUGCAGGGGAAGGAACGUCCCAAGAACCACAGCCUGGAAUACUCAAAAAAGGAGGCAGAGGGAACAGGAAGCUGAGGAGUUUGGUGUCAGGCUGAAGGACAGGAAAAGGCCUGGUUUCCACAUUUGCAACCUGUGUGGCCAACCCCGACAAAAGGAUUUUGGGCACAGCCGCUACAAAGGGGUCCCCUUCUGUUUGCUAUAUGAAGGGAUAUCAGUCGAAGAGUGGCUCGCCAAGCAACGCUCCGCAGACCGAAAAGGCAGACCUGUAAAGAGCAAGAGUGGGAGGAAGAAGGACUGAAGAACUGAAGAAAAAAAAUCCCUGCCCAGUUUAACCAUAUUUCUUGUAAAUAUUUAAAUUUCUGUAUUUUAUUUGUACUUUUCAAAUGUUGAAGAAAUUUAAGGAUUCUGUUCAUUUUAUUUUUUAAAUAAAUACUUUCUAUUAAAAUUGGUGUAUUCCUUA